UGACGUAGGGCAUGGAAGGGCCCCCCAGU
rnacentral:sRNA from 1 species